UACGUAGGGGGCUAGCGUUGUCCGGAAUCAUUGGGCGUAAAGCGCGCGUAGGCGGCCCGGUAAGUCCGCUGUAAAAGUCAAAGGCUCAACCUUUGAAUGUCAGUGGAUACUGCCGGGCUAGAGUCCGGAAGAGGCGAGUGGAACUCCUGGUGUAGCGGUGGAAUGCGCAGAUAUCAGGAAGAACACCGACGGCGAAGGCAGCUCGCUGGGACGAUACUGACGCUGAGGCGCGAAAGCGUGGGGAGCGAACAGG
rnacentral:rRNA from 1 species